UGGUUUCACCUUUUUCCUAUUUUGUGUAUCUGUGAGGAGUUGCACAAAUAAGGCUCCUCUCCGCAUUGCAAAUGGAAUCAGGUCAUGCUCCCAAGUGCCCUUCACCUCAAGAUUCCUGAUUGUUUCUUCCUUCUUUGUUGUGAGCAGGCCCAAAUUGCCUCACCUCUAGCUGCCCUUUCCACUUUAUGAAACAAGCGACUAAUAGCAACGCGACUCUAAAAAUUCCCGGAUGACCUACAUGUUGCUCUUUUUAUUAUCCCUUAAGAAAUGUCUCCGUAAUUGAAAUCUAGAGUAGCAGAGUUUUGUGAUCUUGUCAUCUAGCGUUUUACUUAUGUUUGCCUUAUUUAUACGGUGCCUUUAAACCCCGGGGUGGUCAAAGUCUGCCCGCGGGACCUGCAGGACUGAAACCAAGAAUGUCGUCAUUAAUUCAAAGAUACCUGAAGGCAGAGGAGUGAACCUUUUGGCCUUGGGUCCAUAACUCAGUUUUGCAGUAGGGAAGACCAGAACAGGCUCGUGAAGAGAUUUACCAUGAAGAGGCCAGUGUACCGUUUCCUGGGCAAGCUUCGUUGUGUCUUGCUCUGUUCUGAGCAUCAUUAGAGCCCUCGUUUGAGACAAAUGGGCUCCAUCAUUUCUUCACCAUUCAGGCCCGUAGGAGGAAGAU